rnacentral:tRNA from 1 species
GUGAAGGUAAACUAAAAAAGUUGUCUGAUUCAUAAUCGGGUUAUGAAUUUAUUUCUCUUCAUA